ACUCAUCCUCCACCCUGAGCCCCCUGGCAGGCAGCUGUGCACCUGUUCCUGGAGCAGCCUGCACACAGCAUGUGGGAGCCAGGGUGGGCAAAAGGGAUUCUGUCCUCCAAAUAUUGAGAGUCUGUGCUCUGACUGCUGCUUGCGGCUUCUGAUCACAGAGGUGCAGACACAGAGGCGGGUGGCCACUGCUGUUGCACCUCUCCCACUGUAGCA